AUGGCCAUAUCAUAUUGAAACACCAGUUCUUGUACAAUCACUGAAGUUAAGCAGUGUUGAGCCUGUUCAGUACCUAGAUUGAUGAUCACUUGGGAAUACCAGGUGCUGUAAG